rnacentral:rRNA from 1 species
UACGUAGGUGGCAAGCGAUACUCGGAAUCACUAGGCGUAAAGCGCAGGUAGGUGGUUUGGUAAGUCUUUUGUGAAAGCUCCCGGCUCAACUGGGAGAGGUCAAAGGAAACUACCGGACUAGAGUUUGGUAGGGGAUACUGGAAUUCCUGGUGUAGCGGUGAAAUGCGUAGAUAUCAGGAGGAAUACCUAUGGCGAAAGCAGGUAUCUGGGCCAAUACUGACGCUGAGGAGCGAAAGCGUGGGGAGCGAACAGG